rnacentral:rRNA from 1 species
CUACGGAGGGUGCAAGCGUUAAUCGGAAUUACUGGGCGUAAAGCGCGCGUAGGCGGUUAGAUAAGUCGGAUGUGAAAUCCCUGGGCUCAACCUGGGAACUGCAUUCGAUACUGUCUAACUAGAGUAUGGUAGAGGGAAGUGGAAUUCCGGGUGUAGCGGUGAAAUGCGUAGAUAUCCGGAGGAACAUCAGUGGCGAAGGCGACUUCCUGGACCAAUACUGACGCUGAGGUGCGAAAGCGUGGGGAGCAAACAGGAUUAGAUACCCUAGUAGUCC